rnacentral:rRNA from 1 species
UACGUAGGGGGCAAGCGUUGUCCGGAUUUAUUGGGCGUAAAGAGCGUGUAGGCGGCUAGAUAGGUCCGUUGUGAAAACUCGAGGCUCAACCUCGAGACGUCGAUGGAAACCAUCUGGCUAGAGUCCGGAAGAGGAGAGUGGAAUUCCUGGUGUAGCGGUGAAAUGCGCAGAUAUCAGGAAGAACACCCGUGGCGAAGGCGGCUCUCUGGUACGUGACUGACGCUGAGACGCGAGAGCGUGGGGGAGCAAACAGG